rnacentral:rRNA from 1 species
AUUGAACGCUGGCGGCAGGACUAACACAUGCAAGUCGAACGAGUGGCGGACGGGUGAGUAAUGUCUGGGAAACUGCCUGAUGGAGGGGGAUAACUACUGGAAACGGUAGCUAAUACCGCAUACCAUCAGAUGUGCCCAGAUGGGAUUAGCUAGGUGGUGGGGUAACGGCUCACCAAGGCGACGAUCCCUAGCUGGUCUGAGAGGAUGACAAGCCACACUGGAACUAGGACACGGUCCAUACUCCUACGGUAGGCAGCGGUGGGGAAUAUUUCACAAUGGGCGCAAGCCUGAUGCAGCCAUGCCGAGUGUAUGAAGAAGGCCUUCGGGUUGUAAAGGACUUUCAGCGGGGAGGCGUUACCCGCAGAAGAAGCCCCGGCUAACUCCGUGCCAGCAGCCGCGGUAAUUC